rnacentral:tRNA from 1 species
AAUGUUUUAGGUUAAUUCAAACCUAUAGCCUUCAAAGUUAUAAAUGGGUAGCCUACCCAAACAUUA